GAUGAACGCUGGCGGCGUGCUUAACACAUGCAAGUCGAACGGAAAGGCUCCUGCUUGCAGGGGUACUCGAGUGGCGAACGGGUGAGUAACACGUGGGUGAUCUGCCCUGCACUUCGGGAUAAGCCUGGGAAACUGGGUCUAAUACCGGAUAGGACCACAUUUUGGAUGGUGUGGUGGAAAGUUUUUCGGUGUGGGAUGAGCUCGCGGCCUAUCAGCUUGUUGGUGGGGUAAUGGCCUACCAAGGCGUCGACGGGUAGCCGGCCUGAGAGGGUGUACGGCCACAUUGGGACUGAGAUACGGCCCAGACUCCUACGGGAGGCAGCAGUGGGGAAUAUUGCACAAUGGGCGCAAGCCUGAUGCAGCGACGCCGCGUGGGGGAUGACGGCCUUCGGGUUGUAAACUCCUUUCGCUAGGGACGAAGCGCAAGUGACGGUACCUGGAGAAGAAGCACCGGCUAACGACGUGC
rnacentral:rRNA from 1 species